rnacentral:rRNA from 1 species
AUUGAACGCUGGCGGCAGGCCUAACACAUGCAAGUCGGACGGUAGCACAGGGGAGCUUGCUCCUCGGGUGACGAGUGGCGGACGGGUGAGUAAUGUCUGGGGAUCUGCCCGAUAGAGGGGGAUAACCACUGGAAACGGUGGCUAAUACCGCAUAAUGUCGCAAGACCAAAGAGGGGGACCUUCGGGCCUCUCACUAUCGGAUGAACCCAGAUGGGAUUAGCUAGUAGGCGGGGUAACGGCCCACCUAGGCGACGAUCCCUAGCUGGUCUGAGAGGAUGACCAGCCGGACCGGAACUGAGACACGGUCCAGACUCCUACGGGAGGCAGCCGUGGGGAAUAUUGCACAAUGGGCGCAAGCCUGAUGCAGCCAUGCCGCGUGUAUGAAGAAGGCCUUCGGGUUGUAAAGUACUUUCAGCGGGGAGGAAGGCGAUGUGGUUAAUAACCGCGUCGAUUGACGUUACCCGCAGAAGAAGCACCGGCUAACUCCGUGCCAGCCGCCGCAGUAA